ncrna:unclassified sequences PhotoRC-II RNA
UAACACAUAUUCUGCUCCCGCUAACCAAGACCUAUGGGAGGAUAAAUUACGUCUUUAUAUCCAGUAGUGAGGGAUUACUGGAAAUAAGUUUCGCA